rnacentral:tRNA from 1 species
GGUUGUAUGGAGUAGUUGGUUAACUUAGGAGAUUCUGAUUGAUGUCGAACACAGUUCUCGGCAAUGCUGUCUGAUUUCUCUUGCCCUGGGUUCGAAUCCCAGUACGACCU